CUUUCUCAGGAUAUCGGGAGCCCAGACAGACAUGAGGGACAUUUAAGAGGCUUUUGGGUUGGCAACAAAGUGCCAGAGGAGUCACAAAUGGGAGAUCUGGCCAUGAUAGUCUUUGCUUCCAGCCAGACUGGUUCCAGACGUAACAGGAAUUAAUUCUGUAAGAAGGAUGAUGUGCCUGUCCUGCUCAGAGCACUUCAAGCUCUAUUUCUUAAAAAUGCAAUUGUCUGGAGACUGUUUCCAGGGGAAAGCACAGGGCAGGUUAGGAGGGCAGCACUUUUCGAGGCAAUGGCGGCGGCGGAGGGGGGUCCCGUCCCGUCCGAAGGCUAUUAGCACGUUACCUGAAGAGAAGAGACCUUGUUGUUUUUUAGGACAGCCACCUAAGGAUGUAUUCUCAGGGGGUGACUCUGGGACCAGCACCCUCAGUGGCACACAUCCAUGUGUAGAAUGCACUUGGCCCAUGUACGUGAAAACUGAGGCUCUGUGGAUUCCCUUCUAGAGAGGAAGCAGGCCAUCUGCCUCCUCCCCUACUAUCUGUAAAGGGCAAGGACGCAGAAGCACCAAGCCCGGGAAGUUGGAAGGAAGUCUGUGGGCGGAGGGAACCAAAGGGAGACGUGGGAAGCAGGUUGGGAGAAGGAGAGGUUGCUGGGAGAAAGCAAAGGGUGUUUCCUGGGAGUCGACUCCGUCCAGAUCCUUGCCGCACCUUUGAGGUGAGAGGCCAAGGGGGGAAACCUGGAUGCAGACAAGGACUGGAAGGGCAGGGGGACGGGCCAGGUACAGUGGGGCAACAGAGAGGAAGGACAGGCAGGAUUACGAAGAAAACUCAGCAAGGCAGUCAGAGCUUGGCAAUUGGCACACUUCAUCAAAGCAAUUCUCCCCUCUGUAUUAGACCAGGAUAACUGCAAAUAGACCUAUGCCCCUGCCACCCCCAGGGGGAAUCACUUGGGACACCUGUUUGGGGACCUAAAUUCUGACGAGUUUGAUUUGUUACAAGAUUAUUUCCAUCACCUAAAAGUCACUUGGUACAUUCGUGUUCUCAAUCUGCCUUCUCAAAGCUGAGCUCAUUUCCAAAACUCCACUCGGGCAGCAGUCAAGGGUGGGCAUGAUGCUCACCAGUUAAUGAUAAAAUUCCACAGUGAAGUUUUCCCGGCAUUCCCAGGAAGGAACCCAGAAUUAGCAAUCAGACUGUGAGAACUGCAGUGUGUGUCCCCACACAGGCUGUGUGCCAUGUCCUCAGCCUGAGGAGGGUUGGCCUGGGGCGAGCAGAUGGCGCCCCGUGCGUGCCUCCCCCAUCUGCAAAGGCUGCCUGCAAUCUUUCUCGGAGUCCUCUCUGUACAGCAGAGCCACAACUCUGGCCCUUGCCCCAGGGGUGGUGCUAUGGUUUGAUCUUUUGGACAUAUUUGUCCCCAACACCCAGAAGAUAAAAGGCAGGAAAUGUGCAGUUCCUCUUCCCAUGUUGGGAGUGGCUGGACCACAUCGCGUCACUUUAACAGGGAGUCCACGGGAUCCUCGAGGCACACACAGGGUAAGGAGCCCUCAGGCUCAGGCCUGGGCUGGCACAGCACACGCUGGGCAUUGCCUGGCCUAGGAUAGACUCUCUCCUUCCCAGCAGCUGACCGCAGGCCAGUUCACAUGCAGUGCUGCUUGUAACCGAAGUUCCUUCAGACCGUCACCCCCAUGGCAGCUACCCACCAGAGGAAGCGAUUUCCUCCCAGGCUGGCUGCUGUGGAGCAAAGAAUUCGAAACCAGAUAAAAGAAAUGACCCCAGGGCUUUUGGUCAGAGGUUUGGAAAAUUCUAGGAUUCUGAAAAAGUGACAGUUGACCCGCCAAGACCCAAGGCAGAGUCAGGGGUCAGGGGAGGAGGAGAGAAACGCCAAGGACUCUUGUAUUUUCUGAGCGGCCGAGAUCCCUGCUCCCAAUCAGCCAUCUAACUUGCUGAUUUUUCUUUAAACAGACCGCCUCUUCCGGAAGACAGAAGUAAGUUUCACUUCCACCCACACGCAGGAUGUUAAAACAUUUGAAGAAUGAUUUGUUCUGGACUGGAGUGGGGUGGGGAACACCAUGUGGAAGCAUUCCAUGUCUCUUCCUCCAGGUGUAUGCCAUGUGGCGAGGGUUAUGGAAGCAGAGGGGGCUGUAACAGGCUUUGGAAAUGGCCAUUUCCUGGCUUUGGAACAGUUAAAGGGAGCCCUGGGUGGCCAGGCUGCUGGGCCAGAGCUGCAGGUUUCAUUUCCCCCGGGCUGACUUUGGAAAGCAGCUCUAAUGCACCUGAUCACAUUUGGGGGUGCUCCUGGGGCAGGCUGUCCCGGGGUGCAGCAGAGAGCUCAGCGUCUUGUUGAACAGAAGUCACGAAAGACAGGAACUCAGGGACAACAAUGUCCUUUGGUGCCUUUGUCUGGGCACCUCGUUAAGGCAGAGACCAGCCCAGGCUUUGGCAGGACAACCUCUUCCUGUGUGUUCCAGAGGAACAUAAUUGACUACAAAACCCUUUUCUGAUGUCACUGAUGCCAGAUACAAACCCAAUUAGCCACAGAGCUAGCUCAGAUGCAUCCUGGGAACAUGGAAAUACCACGUUCUACAGCUAAUCAGCCCCGUGGAAGGAUGACACGUGUGGAUGUCAUCGGGAAGGGGCUUCCGGGGGACAUGAGGGGCUGUGUGCUCUUGGAGCCUCCUACUAUUGUGGGUGCAUUACAAGACUCCAGGGCGUUAAUAAUCAGAGACCAGCUCCUGUCUACCCAAGGCCUCUGGGUCUCAGAGUAUCACUGUUUUAUUCAAAGAUCAUUUCAAAAGACGUGCGUGGUUGGGAAGUUAGCUCAGUGGUAGAGCACUUGCCCAGCCCUGGUUUGGUCCUCGGCUCCGGGAGGGAGGGGAGGGAGAGACAAAAGACUUGCUCAGGCCUUAAUUCCAGCAGUUUCUCAGUGGCUCUCACAAGUCUCCAGGAUUGAUCUGACAUCUUGUAUGACUUCUCUCCCAAAGACUAAGGAAUCCUUCUUUGUGACUCUUCCUGAGACGCCAAGUCAUUUCAAAGCUUCGUAGGAUGUUCUGGUCCACCCUGAGUUGGUUUGAACUAUCAACAUUGACCGAAGUCCCUAACAGGUUGGGCGUAGGGAUAAAUGUCACUGAAAAUGGCAAAUGCGGGAAGAACAGUGCCUAGGUUCUGACUGGUCACUAUGACGGUGGUGAUCACCAGUUACGGCGACAUGGACCACAAUGUUGGAGAGUCACUGAGUCACAAAAGCCCCACUUAGAAGCAUCUGCCAGAGUAGGGCAUUAGGCUUGAAUCAGACGUUCAAAAGCCAUGCAGAAAGCUGGUUGGUAUAGGGACUUCCAAUGGCAUUGAGCUUUACUCUGAUUGGUGGCCUUGUCUUAGGUGUCUUCAGCUACCCACAUAACACACUAAUCCUUGCAGCUGUUCUGGUGGAGGAGUGGGUGGCAGGAGCCUGGGCAAGACCUGGUGGCUUAUACACACUCCCUCUCCACCAAACCCGGGCCUUAGACCCUUUUAACCCGACAGCUGAUGCUCUAGGUGGUCUGGGUGUGGUGGCUGGGCCUCUGGCUUUGGACGGGCAGACAGCAUUCCGAAAGAAGUACGGUUGACUUGGAUGUGAUGAAUCCGUGUUGUCAUUACAGCACUCUGGAGGCCGAGGCAGGAGGAUCCUGCACUGGAGGCCAGCCUGGACUGCAUAGAGACACCCUAUCUCAGAAAACGAAAAGAAGAAAAGAAAAGGGAAAUGUGGGUAGGGUCACCGAGCGCAGUGUCUGUGGAAGUCACCUGUCAGCAGCAGGAACAGCUGGCGGCAGCAGGCUCCUGCAGCCGGUCUGCAUGCAGCUGGGAUAAAUUCAGCCCAGGAGGAAAAUCAGCCCUUCCUCCCCCUCUCGCCUCCCAUUUUAGGUUUUAGGUACCACACAAGAUGGUGUCCCAUCUGAACCAGGCUGAACCAUGCCGACGGCUCUUCUCCACUACAAGAACCACCAGUUUGGCACCUUUGACUUCAGGUGCACGCCUCCAUUUACCACCACGCUGAGAAGCUCAACGUUGCCCUGGCUGUGUGGCCAGCGAGGUACUAUCUGCUGUCUCCUUUGGGCUCCGGUGGAGUAGCUUGAGAUGCUCUUCUCACUGCGGCCUGAGAGGGUGCAGACAGGAGGCCUGUGCAGCUGCCCUGCGGUUUUGAGCGGCCCGCUGAGGAUCUGGACACGGCAUGGCCAGUGGGUGAGGAGGCGCCACACUUCGUGAAGCGCCACACCGCUCUGCUGCUGUGAUGGAGGCAUUCUGAAGGCACUGUGAUGCAGGACUGGGCUGCUUAAGUUACCGUACCCAAAUCAUACGGACGGGGUGACUGAACAGUGCCGCUCCAGGGUCAGAGCGCCCGUGGGGUCAGUUCCUGGAGAGCUUGUCCUCCACGGCUGGCAGCCUCCUGUUCACGCCAUCACCAUAGUCACUUCUCCGUGACAAGCGAGCUUUGGGGUUUCUUUCCUUCUUCUGAGGACAUUGGUUAGCUCAGAUUAGGCCCCUGUGACCUCAUUCAAUAUUAGUUACCUCAUGUUUCUACGUGUAGGCACAUUGGGUAUGAGGGCUUCAAGAUUUUGGGGGAACACAGUUAGUAUAGAUCAUGUACAGGCAGAGACACACGUGUGGAUGCAUUAAUGGAAUGAAUAUUCUGGUCGUAGAAGGCAUUUGAUUUAGAUAGAUCUGUGUUUUGUGAUCUCCAGGCUUCUGCGUUAUGAGGAAGAAGACAACAGAUACGAACCUUUAAGGAAAUACAUUUUUCUUUUAUCUUAAAAUGAUAUGUACAAUAGGAUUUUAUCCGGGUUGUGGUCAAUGGCUGGCACGUCUACCCCUCCAUCAUCUCAUCCACACCCACCUCUCUGUCUGCACGCUUGCACCGAGAGAUUUCUAGAGCCACACUGAUGAAAUGCUUCUUUCUAGGUGCUGGAAUCUAAAGUGAUUUUGCCUGGGCUUUUCCUUGCACUUACCUCCAUGACCCCAAAUUUAUAAUAAGGGACACACAUACGUAUCCUUUCCAAGCAGACGGUACUGAUGAAUUUUAUGUGCUGACAGUGCCUCUCAUGUGUACCCCUGCUUUGUUCCUGAGGAAGGGGGGGCUAGCCGGAGGGAGUGUCCUGCCUGGUAGACCCAGCCCUAUGACUUUGGCCUUGGUCAAACAACUACAAACACAGCUGAGUAUGAGGUUCCUCAGGGAGCAGUGAGGAAAACUUUGGAGGACCCUCGGGUGCCACUGGAACUCACAGCCAGUGGCAUCCUGAGCCUUUGAAGUCUUUUUUUAAGACUGGCUGGCCAGGCUUGUAACUGGAGUUGAGUUCACAGUUCCCGGAGGGGCAGCAAGGUGUCCUGGAUGCUGCCUGGUUGGCUGCCCUGUGUGGACAGAUACCCAAGGUUUGGAUGUGGCAAGGUCAAGGAUGUCGGAGGUUUGUGGCUCCCGUAGAAAGCACAGGCAGAUCCACAGGGUUCUGCCUGUAUUGGAGAGCCAGGGACCAGCAGGCACUCUCCUGCCUGAGGCAGCUGUGAGACUACCACGGCUACUCUGAAAAGCAGGCCAGACAACAUCCAUGCAUGUAGGGCUGAAAGUAGACACAGAACCCCCCCCAGCCCGACCCCAGCACAUGCUGUCCCCUGCAGUCCCGGGAAAGAGAUCAUGGGAAGUCCUUUUCUCCAAGGCGUCCUUGGCUCCAACCCAAGGCCUAUCAACAGUCAUAGCGUACGUUCCCUAAACAGUGGUUUUGCAGGACGGCACAUUGUCCAUCCGUGAAGACCAGCUAACCACAGUUAGGUGCCAUUGCACCUAAUGACACGGAUGUCACCCACAGGCGCACAGCUGAGUGGACAAGCCCAAUGCAAAACGAAGAGAGCAUCAUGUCUUUAAUGGGAGGUUCAAGGCAAGCAAAACAAAACCAUAUCUUCAGGGAUGCACACCUCAAUGAUGAAGAUGAUACAGUUCAGAAAGAACAGGGAGAAAUGAUGAUACGGUUCAGAAUAAGACCAACCGGUGGAGGGGGCGGGGUCAGCACUGGUCAAGGUUUCCCAGGGUGGAUGAAGAGUCCUGGACAGUGUUCUCUUUAACCUGGUGGUGGUGACAAGGAUGUUUGCUUUUUAAUUAUUCAUUAAACUGCUGAGUUUACAUGUA